rnacentral:snoRNA from 1 species
CAGCUCUUCAAAAGCACUGGUUAUAGGACUACUCAGUCUUGUCCAUGCCAGCCGUCAAAAUGAGCUAUAUAGAAUAUCUUGUUUUUGGGUGAGGUGUAAUUGUAUUUAAAUUAGAUCUCAAUAACACGAUGACAAUU